rnacentral:rRNA from 1 species
UCCAGACUCCUACGGGAGGCAGCAGUGAGGAAUAUUGGUCAAUGGGCGAGAGCCUGAACCAGCCAAGUCGCGUGAGGGAAGACGGUCCUAUGGAUUGUAAACCUCUUUUGCCGGGGAGCAAAAAGCGGUACGUGUACCGUAUCGAGAGUACCCGGAGAAAAAGCAUCGGCUAACUCCGUGCCAGCAGCCGCGGUAAUACGGAGGAUGCGAGCGUUAUCCGGAUUUAUUGGGUUUAAAGGGUGCGCAGGCGGAGGUGCAAGUCAGUGGUCAAAUUGCGGGGCUCAACCCCGUACUGCCGUUGAAACUGGCAGUCUCGAGUUGGAGAGAAGUAUGCGGAAUGCGCGGUGUAGCGGUGAAAUGCAUAGAUAUCGCGCAGAACUCCGAUUGCGAAGGCAGCAUGCCGGCUCCACACUGACGCUGAGGCACGAAAGCGUGGGUAUCGAACAGGAUUAGAUACCCCAGUA